AAGACUAUACUUUCAGGGAUAAUUUCUAUAGUUUUUGACUUGAGAAAUGUGUUUCUAAAGUGUUUGGUCUCGCUGACCCCAAUAAAGAGUUGUGAUAUUCCCUCAGAGCGUGAAGCUGACAGAGAGUAAUGUUUUAGCUCAUAUGUUCUUUGUCAUUGAUGAUCGUUCUGUAUUUUCUCACAGAGUACUGAGAAAGGGAAUAUGAUCAGAGUGGU
rnacentral:snoRNA from 1 species